rnacentral:lncRNA from 1 species
CAAUGAGAACACAUGGACACAGGGUGGGGAACAUGCAUCAAUGAACAAAUAGAAGCUUGCUUAAAAUGUAUAGAUAAUGUAGUUUGUAAGUACUGAAUUUUUUUUUUUUUUUCUUUGUGAGACAGAGUUUCGCUCUGAGUGCAGGCUAGAGUGCAGUGGCAUGAUCUCGGCUCACUGCAAGCUCUGCCUCCCAGGUUCAUGCCAUUCUCCUGCCUCAGCCUCCCGAAUAUCUGGGACUACAUUUUCCUCAAUAUGUAUAAGUAGACUUAUGAAAAAAACAUUCAAUAUUGCAUUGCUAUUUAAGAGGAUUUGCUAAGUUUCAUAUGAAUGAAAGGCCCAUUGAGUGGAACUGAGAAGGACUAGCCCAUCAACAACAUUUUAUGGGGUGGACUCUUCUCAGCCCCAUCGUGGACAG